rnacentral:RNase_P_RNA from 21 species
CGAGUAAGCCAGACAAUCGCUGCUGCAAUUUGCAGGAGAGGAAAGUCCGAGCUCCAUAGGGCAGGGUGCCGGGUAACUCCCGGUCAAGGCGACUUGAAGGAAAGUGCAACAGAGAUAUACCGCCAUUUUAUAAUGGUAAGGGUGGAAAGGCGAGGUAAGAGCUCACCAGCGCAUUGGCGACUUUGCGGCUAUGUAAACCCCAUCUGGAGCAAGAUCAAAUAGGGAAGCGUUUUGGAGUGGCCCGCUCUGCUUCCGGGUAGCAUCGCUUGAAUCUUAUGGUAACAUAAGGUCUAGAUAGAUGAUUGUCGAAUACAGAACUCGGCUUACAGGUUUAGUCGUCCA